AGUUGCUAACUGCCAUGCCAGCCCCAAAAGUUCAGUACAGUGUCAACGGCUCCCGGUUGUGCUUCGUUGGGAUUCGGGAGCACCCAGCAGAAGCACACGUGGAACUGCAUGGCACGAUGAGCUUUUGUCAACACGUGGAUGGACUGUCAUGACAUGAGGAUGGACGGUCGUGAUACGAGGAUGGGCUGUGACAACACGCCAAGUUUCUGGGUGCAGGUGGGAGCUGUCCAGCAGGGCCCAGAGCUCUGUUCUGCUGCACCAGGCAAACACCAGGGAUCAGUUUUUUCUCCUGUAAAGGCAAGAGAAAUGGUGUGUGGGUGUUUUAAAAAUGUCCUCAUGGAGGGGAGAUUACUGUUGUGUACAUAUAAAGUUACCUAUCUCAGACCUCAGUUAUAUCAUCACUGAGCAUACAGUGCUCAGCUGAGCCUUUGUCAGCUGCUGAUAUUAAGGACACAUUGAAGAACAGAUUUAUUGGGCUGCUGUCUGCAGUGAGCACACUAGAGGAGAAGUAAGACUGUCCCAUUGCAAGAGGUUUCAUUCUACUUCGUGCUGAACCAAAAGGAAUCGAUCAGUCUUCCAGGAAUGACACUGCCUUGGAAUGCCUCUUGCAGCUUUGCAGGAAGACCAGAGGGGCUGCACCUGGACCUGGGGAUUCCACCUAGGGCAGUAACAACCUUCCUGGGUAUCCUGAGCACGAGGAGACAAAUUUGCAGGGACAGCUGGAGGAGCACAUGGGAUGGUGUGCAGCACAGAGGAGGGAGCCGACAUGAGAAAAGCACCAAGAACAAUGUGAGCAUGACCCAGGACUGCCCACCUCCAGGCUCCUUGCAGCAACAUGCUGCUCCUUCCAGGUGGAGCCACAGCAAGACAACUGUGGGAACACAAUCUCAGACUUCAGCAUCCUCUGGUAUCUCAUGAUACAUGCGUAGUUCCCAACCGGAUGUUCCCAACCACUUUGCUACCCAACCUCCGAUGUCCGUUAAGCUCUCCUUUCCUAUGGUCAAGAUGAAGCCUAACGUGGUGGCUGGUUAUCUCACAUCAGCUUAAUGCAAGCUCCUUCUCACUGCCUGCCCUGAGCACACCAUCAAGCAUUGGUGCUCAGACACGUCAGGAGGAGGUACUGUGCAAACGCCCUGCAAAGGGAUUCUGCAGGUAGAAGACAAGAGACAAUGAGACCUACAAGGGCAGCAAUAAUGGGCUACUUAGGUCAAAGUUUUCUUCCUUGAUACUACGAUGCAGCCCCAAAGUCUCAUUCUACACAGACCCCAUCCCACACACCCAAAUCUCAGACUCAUCAGAAUGCAGAUGACCACAGCUUGCUGCAGUGCUGCACUCAGCCUUCUCCUGCAUUAUUUAUGGUUAUUCUCUUUGGGAAAGAAAAUAAACAACAACAACAAACAACAAAAAACAACAAAUAGUUUACACGCUUUUAAAACUCAUAAAUAUAACAAACCCAAGGCAAUUUGGCAAACCUGCCUUAUGGCUGGUGGCCCACCUUGGGCCUGCUCAUGUGGUCGUGCUGACAUGUCUUUCUACCUCCAAGGAAUCUGUCACUUGGAGCCAAUCUAUCACAGUGACACACCGCUCAGAACACUUCUUUCUCUUUAUUCAUCCAUUACUUCACUUCCUGCCAUCCAUCUCCCUUGAGAUUUCUUUUCCUUAUUUUUAAUACCUGUGCCAAGUUGUAUCGCUGCCAUCUAUUUACCCACUGUGAUCAUCAGACUAAAACCAGAAAGAGACUGAAGCCAUCGGGCCAAAAUCUGAUUACCUGCAUCUCUUUUUAUUCACGUAUCAUUGAUGGUAUCUGGAGAACUGAACGUGCACUGAGUUUGAAUGAAUACAUUUCACAUAUGAGUGAGUUAAACAGAGAAUUCUGCUUCACAGGUACUGGGGGGAGGGGAGGGGGAAUGACGGUAUUAGCUUAGAUUUCCCAAAAAGCUCUAGAAUAAACCCCUGAGAUUUUUUUUAUCUAUCUAUCUAUCUAUCUAUCUAUCCAUCCGUCCAUCCAUCCGUCCAUCCAUCCAUAUAUAUUCUGGAAAUGUUCUGUUUAUUCUCUGGGGAUUGUGACCUUGGGGUGAACCCCACGGAGACCCCACAUUUUCAAGAUGUUCUUUGUUAUCACAUGUUUUAAGAUUACUUUACAGGUCCACGGAAGAAAAGCUUCUCAUACAACCAUUUGUUUCUCUAAGAACUUCAGUUCUAAAUGAAACAUCAAAUAUCGUGGGAGCUGGUAACCCGAAACCCAACAGUUUGUAUCAAGAAACUGCUUGAUACAACAGUGAGUGCUCUGAAAGCAGGCAUUCAUUUCCAGAAGUGCCAUCAGCUGGCCACGUAUUGAUACGUCCCCAGAACUCAUGAAGUUUGCAGACAUGCAUCCUUAGACAGGCACUACUGAAUUAGAGCAUUUUCCCUCUUUUCUCAGAAAUGCACGGAUGGAAUUUCCAUAAUGUAUUGCAGAUAACACACAAUUCCACGUAAAGCCUGAAUAAAUACAAUCAGUGUUCCUUGAAUGAAUGUUGAUAAGGAGCAGGGCAGGAGAGCGGCUGACAGGCUGCCAUGCUGGGCCAGAGCCCAUCUGCACCCACCCACGGGGUAGGACAGCGUAUGUGCGAGAUGUCCUCUGGCUGUGGAGGGACGUCCCAAAGGAAAAGCUGGAGAGCCCACUCCUUAGGCUACACAGGUGAAUCUAUGGAUGAUGAUUUUUGUCCUUCCUAUUUCGUAUUAUCAGUAGCACGCUUUUGCUAGGCGGAGCAUCAGGUGAGCUAAACGUGUUCAUGGUCUUCACUAGCACAAAUUCAGUGCAGAGCUGUACAGAAAUUAGGGGACAGCCUGCAACACCCCCGGGACAAGCAAACUGGGGUUUGCACUGUGGUAUGCAUGUGGGCUUCACACACUGUCAAUCCUUUCUUUGUUUCCUGAAAUUUCAAGCUCCUUGCAAGCCCUUAGCUAUAUAAUGCCUUAUUUUAGCAUAACUGUUCCUGAUAAAUCUCUGUAGAUACCAAAAUAUGUGAAAAGCAGCUUAGCCCUGGGGAACACCCCCAGUCCCUCAUUAGAAAAAGAUGGGGUAGAGUAUCUUAAAGCAAACAAAAAAAGUGAUGUCCCUAUUAUAGAAUUCCGCGACUUGAGGUAAACCAACCCUAGCCCAGGAAACUGUAUCCUGGGUUACUCAUUCGGAGUAUUCCUCCCUGAGCGGCUGCUUGUUUGUGUACGGCUGCCCCGGGCUAUUGCUGCAAAAUUCCUCGUGCUGAAGCAACUCCAUUCAUACGGGCAGGGCCUGAAAUAACGCACAGCCAGGCUGACUCCCAGCCCAACACGGGUAGCUGCAGUUACAGCCCGACUGAUCCGAGUUCAGUCAUCUUUACACACAGCACUAUCUAUUGAAUUGAAAACACAGGGAAACAAAGCUGGAGGGAGAAACUGCCAGUGUUUGUCUACGUUGUGCAUCCAGCAGACCUCCCCCACAUCUCAAAGGGUUAUAGAAUGUAUUAACUGAGCUUCAGAAUGCCUAAUAAGUACGUAAUUGCAGACUAAUUUCCCCUUUCCUAGACGUGAAUUUACAGUGGUGGCAAAAAAGGAAUGAAGCAAACAAACAAAAAGCACAGUUUUCUUCAAACUCGAAAGUGCUGAGAGCUGAUGGUGUCGCGGUGAGCUGUGCCGGUGGGGGUUUGGCACAAGAAGGGCAACUUGGAGCAGUUGGCCUUCAGUGCAUCCAAGGUGACUGCCCAGCCCCGCCGUGCUCCUGGUUUGCUCCUCUGAAAAUGCAAAAGCUGAUCUCGGAGAUGAAAAGCAAAGUUUGAAAAGAAUUGUUCUUGGAGUCAAAAUUCCUGGUGUCCUAAAUUACAGCAACCCCCACCCGGAGCGAUUGGCUCCUCGGGGUAAUCUGAGCUCUCUCAAUUAACUGGCACAGAGAUAAAGAUUGCUCAUGCUAAAGUUGUCACAUAACACCGGGCUUAGAAAUUGGAAAAUCUCAAGCACAAGAAAGGUACCUUUUCACUUGUAUCUACAGCCUCAGCGUGUAUCAAUAUUUGGAUUUGGUUUAUACUCUCUUGAUGUGCAAAACUGAGGGAAUUAUAUACUGAAACAAAAGAAAAGGACUUUUUGUUGGAUUACCAUGUUAAUUAAAAUGUGGAAGACACCAUUUACCAUCUGAACACUUCAGAGUUUGAGUCUGUUGCUUUUGCAAGGCACAACGGGCAUCUGCAAAGUACGUGGGGAGUUCUGAAGCUCAGAUGUAAACCCCUUACAGACCCAAGAGGGGAAGAAGAUAUUUUAACGAGUUGUUUUGCACCUGCAAUUAAACAGACAUGCAGGCAAGUCUAAUUUACACUGAAACUUAAUUGCAAGCAUAAAUCUUGUGUAUACGUAUGACAUAAAUAAAACCUCUCCUAGCUGUUCAUGUUCUGUUACAAAGGAGCCGAGUCCCAUAGCUUUGUUUUGUUUUGUUUUGUUUUGUGAUUAUAGGUUUUCUUUUGGGGUACGGCAUUGUUUUAAUGCAUCUGUCAUCGUCCCUGAAAAUACCCAGUUGUGGAGUGUCAAAAAAAUACCCAACAAAUGAGAUGCAGUUCGUCCUGGAGUUCCUCUGAACACUGGUGCCACUGACAGCCAGCAGCCAGGGAGUGAACAUGGGCAUGUGGGCCAUCAUUCAUGAAGUGAGCAUCCUGCAAAGGGGCUCUGCUGCUGUGGCAUGUUUGUGGAGGGAGCUGGGAUCGAGAGCACUACAAGGAAUGGCUCAGGGGAUUAUAGAACUGCUGAGGUCACUUUUAUCUUCUAAACAAUAUUUCAUGUGUGGAAAGGCACUUUGAGCCUCCUGGGGUGAGCACCGUAUGACUCCGGGUCAGCAGCCCUUACACAAAGAGCAACUUCAUGAUGAAACCUAAAGCAGAAGGUAACAACAGAGCAUCCCCAAACCAACCAAGAAGCACUCCGGGGUGGAUGCCUUCCCCUGAAACGUCUCAUGCAAUUUAUUUCCAUAUCAGCUUGAAUAUUUGAAGGUUUUUGAGGCUUAGGAGAGGACACUGAAUGAGGCCAAGACGUAGAAGACUGAAGAGACCCAAAGCCACAGCAGAGCACCACGUCCAUCCUCCACAUAAAGCUGAUAUCUUUAUGGAGACUCACACUGAAGUAGGACUGGAUCUGUGAGGGUCAAAUUCUGAUUUUGUUGUUGGGAAAGGAUAGGCAGUGAAGGGGCUGCUAGAUUUGUUUCACUUCUCUCACAAAACGUAUUCCUGCCUGAAUUAUGAACCUGCUGUUAUGCUGAUAAGCCUGUUUAUGGUGUGACCUACUUAACCACAGCUCUGGUGGCUCGAGGCUCGCAGCAGCGCAAAGGCCAAAGGCCCCAAACAGGAAAAGAUAUCAUAUGGGGGAAAAAAAGUUUCCAAGCCUUUGUCCUUUACAUGCUGCAAGGUGUCAAGCACUGAACCAGCGCUGAGACCAUUGUUCAACCAACUGCUCUUUUCAAAUGGAAAUGUCUGCAAAAGCCAUGUCAGCAAAAGGAAUUCAUUGCUUCAACGUGGCUCCUAGCUUAUAUCCUACAAUAAAACCUGAGGCCUAUUAGUCCAUACUUAGGACUUGUUACUGGGUUUUAAAGCUCCUUUCAGGCACAGUUUUAGCCUAAUCUGGCCGGAUCACUAGCAAGGUUACGAAACUGCAAGGUUAUGUUGCCUUUACUUGGGAAUGUAUGUCGAAAGGCUGUUUAGCCUCUUGUUUUUUAAAUAACGCCUUUCUGCUGAAGGCAGAGGAACAGUACAGGACAGCUUCACUCACACAGGAA
ensembl:lncRNA